ACUUUGCUAGCUGUCUUUAUAGGGUGAACUUCUAUGGUAGGAAUUUUAUAGGAUUCAGUAGUGUGCUCUCUUUGAUCUCCUUGUCUGGAUGCUUUAGGGUUGCCCUUUCUUCCAUUUGUGUGGGCUGUCUUGUUCUACUUGGGUUUUACCUAUUGGUGGCUCCUUUGUUCAUGGGUGAUCCCCUUCAGUGGGUUUACUGGUGUUCACAACUCCCACCUUGUAUUGUAUGCUUCUGUACAGAUGUUCAUUAACAAAGCAGUAUUACCAGACCACCGAACCUAUGCCUACGGAAAGAACUCUCCUAUCACAUAAACAGUCUCAACUGCAAUUGAACUAGGGUUAAUAAAGGUGAAGAGAGAUUAUGGGUACCAUAAGCUAGGACAAAGGGAAUAUGAUAUGACUAAAAGAAGGGGAAAUGUUGCAUGAUAAGAAGGAGGAGAAUUGAUAAGAGUUGGGACAGAACCAAGGAGAAGAAAGAAAAAGAGCAAAAUUCACAACAUAAGUAAAACAUGAAAGGGCUAUGGGAACAAUGGCGUAAGAAGAGAGAAGAGUAUACCAUGAGGUUUGAAGUAAAAUUGUAAAGGUACUGCACCAACGGGAACAAACUUG